rnacentral:rRNA from 1 species
GAUGAACGCUGGCGGCGUGCCUAACACAUGCAAGUCGAACGAAGCACUCGUGAAGCCUAGCGAUCGAGUGACUGAGUGGCGGACGGGUGAGUAACGCGUGGAUAACCUGCCUUAUACUGGGGGAUAACAGUUGGAAACGACUGCUAAUACCGCAUAAGCGCACAGCUUCGCAUGAAGUGGUGUGAAAAACUCCGGUGGUAUAAGAUGGAUCCGCGUCUGAUUAGAUAGUUGGUGGGGUAGUGGCCUACCAAGUCAGCGAUCAGUAGCCGACCUGAGAGGGUGACCGGCCACAUUGGGACUGAGACACGGCCCAAACUCCUACGGGAGGCAGCAGUGGGGAAUAUUGCACAAUGGGCGAAACCCUGAUGCAGCAACGCCGCGUGAGUGAAGAAGUAUUUCGGUAUGUAAAGCUCUAUCAGCAGGGAAGAUAAUGACGGUACCUGACUAAGAAGCACCGGCUAAAUACGUGCCAGCAGCCGCCGUAA